GUCUACGGCCCUGCCACCCUGAACGUGCCCAAUCCCGUCUGAUCUCAGAAGCUAAGCAGGGUCGGGCCUGGUUAGUACUUGGAUGGGAGACCACCUAGAAGACAGAGUAUUGUAGAUG
rnacentral:rRNA from 1 species